GUUAGUCCCAUGGAUGACGUGGUGGGUCCGUCCCACCUAAUAAUUUCUCAGCAACCUAUACAUUUUGUUAUGAGAAAUUAUUAGGUGGGACGGACCCACCACGUCAUCCAUGGGACUAA
rnacentral:pre_miRNA from 1 species